rnacentral:rRNA from 1 species
AAGCUUGCUUCUCUUGAGAGCGGCGGACGGGUGAGUAAUGCCUAGGAAUCUGCCUGGUAGUGGGGGAUAACGUUCGGAAACGGACGCUAAUACCGCAUACGUCCUACGGGAGAAAGCAGGGGACCUUCGGGCCUUGCGCUAUCAGAUGAGCCUAGGUCGGAUUAGCUAGUUGGUGAGGUAAUGGCUCACCAAGGCGACGAUCCGUAACUGGUCUGAGAGGAUGAUCAGUCACACUGGAACUGAGACACGGUCCAGACUCCUACGGGAGGCAGCAGUGGGGAAUAUUGGACAAUGGGCGAAAGCCUGAUCCAGCCAUGCCGCGUGUGUGAAGAAGGUCUUCGGAUUGUAAAGCACUUUAAGUUGGGAGGAAGGGCAGUUACCUAAUACGUGAUUGUUUUGACGUUACCGACAGAAUAAGCACCGGCUAACUCUGUGCCAGCAGCCGCGGUAAUACAGAGGGUGCAAGCGUUAAUCGGAAUUACUGGGCGUAAAGCGCGCGUAGGUGGUUAGUUAAGUUGGAUGUCAAAUCCCCGGGCUCAACCUGGGAACUGCAUUCAAA